AUGGAAAUGGACCAAGUAACCGAGCGAUUGAUUGAAGAAGUGAGGAAAUACAGCCAUCUGUAUGAUUCCUCUUCGGGAGAUUACAAAGACUGCCAGAUGGCAGCGAAUUCGUGGAGGGAGAUUUCCUCCAACGUCGGUUUAGAUGUAGCGGAGUGCAUGAAGAGAUGGAAGAACUCUCGAGACAAGUACGUUCGUCUCCGUAAAAAACUCGCCACAAGGAGCGGGGAUCCAGGAGGAAAAAAAAUCCCAGCGUUUUAUUUAUUCCUAUCUUGGCUGGCACCUCAUGUCAAACAUCGGCUUACGGAGUCAAACUUUGACGAUAAGGAUGGGACUGAUACCAGCUCAAACUCCACUGGUUUAUCGGAUGUGAGACCUCCAGCCAACAGCGAUGAUGACCAAUUACCAAGUGGUAGCCCCCAUCACCAGCCAUCUCUUCCGUCCCCGCAGCCAUCUCUUCCGUCCCCGCAGCCAUCUCUUCCAUCCCCGCAGUCAUCUCUUCCGUCCCCGCAGUCAUCUCUUCCGUCCCCCAGUCCAAGAAUGGCACAAAAAAGGAAGAGAAAAGAAAAAGAUGACUGGGUCCAAGUGCAGGUUGCUCGGUUGGAGGCUCAGUUGGAGGAACGGCGGGUGGAGCUGCAACAGAGACUGUGUCAAGGCAAUGAUGAGAGCGACCGGUUUGGACAAACUGUUGCAGAUAUGCUGCGGAGGGUGCCGGAGGACCACAGAGCGCAGGCAAUGUUCGACGUGUCAAAGAUACUUUUUGAGUGGCAGCAAAAAAAAUAAACAAUUGUGCCUACUUUGAAAACGUUAAACCUUUUAAUUCUGUGCAUAUAGAAAUGCACUGUAUCUGCAGUUUACACUUUUGCUUUUUUUAGGGUUUUUUUGUAUAUAGUUUGCACUUUUGCAUCCAUUAAUAUUUAUCUUGUUUUACUAUUUGUGGAGGGUAUAAAGUUUGCACAUUUUUGUAUAUAGUAUGCCCUUUAGCUUUUUUAUUUAUUGUCUGUUCACACCAAUUCAUGCAGGUUAUACGGUAGCUUGCAUCAUUUGUGAAGUUUCUCUUUUGCAUCUAUUUUUGAUAAUAAUUGUAGCUCAUUGCACAUUAAUACAUUGCACUGUCAUGCCCAUAUUUGUAUA
ensembl:lncRNA